UGGGGAAUAUUGCACAAUGGGCGCAAGCCUGAUGCAGCCAUGCCGCGUGUAUGAAGAAGGCCUUCGGGUUGUAAAGUACUUUCAGCGAGGAGGAAGGCGUUGUGGUUAAUAACCGCAACGAUUGACGUUACUCGCAGAAGAAGCACCGGCUAACUCCGUGCCAGCAGCCGCGGUAAUAAGGAGGGUGCAAGCGUUAAUUGGAAUUACUGGGCGUAAAGCGCACGCAGGCGGUCUGUCAAGUCGGAUGUGAAAUCCCCGGGCUCAACCUGGGAACUGCAUCCGAAACUGGCAGGCUAGAGUCUUGUAGAGGGGGGUAGAAUUCCAGGUGUAGCGGUGAAAUGCGUAGAGAUCUGGAGGAAUACCGGUGGCGAAGGCGGCCCCCUGGACAAAGACUGACGCUCAGGUGCGAAAGCGUGGGGAGCAAACA
rnacentral:rRNA from 1 species